GGAGGUAAAAGUCGUAACAAGGUUUCCGUAGGUGAACCUGCGGAAGGAUCAUUAACGAGUUAGGGUCUUUUAGGCCCGACCUCCCAACCCUAUGUUUAUUGAACCUCUGUUGCUUCGGCGGACCCGUCUCACGGCCGCCGGAGGACCGCUGCGAGGCGUCCUCUGGCCAGCGUCCGCCGAUGGCCAACCCACUAAACUCUGAAUGAAUCGUGUCAUAUGUCUAAGUCUAUGAUUAAAUUAAAGCAAAACUUUCAACAACGGAUCUCUUGGUUCUG
rnacentral:misc_RNA from 1 species